UGGGCCUCACUGCCAAUCGACCUUCUAUAGUAAUCAACUAUUCUCUGAAUCCCUUCCGGAUCCCAACCGAGCUCCCGCGAGAGCCGACUUCUACUACGAGCGGUCUACUCCGAAUUCCUAUAGUGGGCUGUCUACCCCAGAUAUCUACUGUAAGCAAAUUCCAUCCGAGCCUCUACUGUAAAUAAAUUUCUUCCGAACUUCUAUUAUAGGUAGACUUCAGCUGAACUUCUUUGUAGCUGGAUCCCAGACGAGCUUCUACCAUAGGGCAGGAUCCACCGGCUAGGUCGUUGCUCCGAGCUCCCACGACAAUCGAUCUUCGAUCGAGCUCCUACAAUAAGCGACCUCCUUUCGACCUCCUGCAAGAAUCGGACUCUGUCUGAACUUCUAUAGCGGAUGGAUUCCGGAUGAGCUCCUGCAAGAAUCGGACUCCGUCCAAACUUCCACAGCGG
rnacentral:lncRNA from 1 species